GUCGGACAGGACUGAGGACGCUCGCGGCAUCUCUCAGGCGGACAGACGCGUCUCAUCGCCUCAGCUGUGUUGAAGAGCCACCAGAAGCUAAAGCUAGAAAGAUCUGAGACUUUUCCGAAAUGAUCAAGCGCACCGUGUUCAGUUCUGGUGUCUCAUGCUGUCUGUUGUCAUAGAAACGGCCAUCAGCAGAGAGACGGAGGCCGUCCACGACAUCGCACGCAGAAGCUGCUGCUGGAGAACAAGCCAGAAUAAUCCACAGAGCUUGGCCUGGUCCAGGAGCGCGAGCGAGCACAGCGGACAGGAGCUUUGAAACACACGGCCCGUCAGGACGAGAUGGAUCCGCUCGAGCGCCGCGCCGCUGAGGU